GUCGUGAGAUGUUGGGUUAAGUCCCGCAACGAGCGCAACCCUCGUCCCAUGUUGCCAGCGGGUUAUGCCGGGGACUCAUGGGAGACUGCCGGGGUCAACUCGGAGGAAGGUGGGGAUGACGUCAAGUCAUCAUGCCCCUUAUGUCUUGGGCUGCAAACAUGCUACAAUGGCCGGUACAAAGGGCUGCGAGCCUGUGAGGGUAAGCGAAUCCCGGAAAGCCGGUCUCAGUUCGGAUCGGGGUCUGCAACUCGGCCCCGUGAAGCCGGAGUCGCUAGUAAUCGCGGAUCAGCAACGCCGCGGUGAAUACGUUCCCGGGCCUUGUACACACCGCCCGUCACGUCACGAAAGUUGGCAACACCCGAAGCCGGCGGCCUAACCCGUAAGGGAGGGAGCUGUCGAAGGUGGGGUCGGCGAUUGGGACGAAGUCGUAACAAGGUAGCCGUACCGGAAGGUGCGGCUGGAUCACCUCCUUUCUAAGGAGCACCGGCGCCCCUAGUCACCGCAUGCGUGGCUGGGCGUCCAUGCUUUCUAGUGGAGCACUGGCUAUUCGGCACCUCUUCUCACCGCAAUCCGGUUAGUACGCUCUUCCCCUCGGGGGAGCUGCGGAACGGGGAAUGAGCGGGAGUCGAGCUGCCGGGCACGCUGUUGGGUCCUGAGGAAGCAGCCGCUUCGCUUAGGGCUAGCACCUCGGCGAGUGCUCUAAUUUUGCCUUGACUAGUAGGGUAAAUCCUUCUGGACGGUACAAAAUUAGAGUGUUCGACACGGGCCUAGGUUCGCUUGGCGCGGAUGCGCCGAGGGGGCAAGGUUUCCGUCCGUAUCUUGAGAACUGCACAGUGAACGCGAGCAUCUAAAAUGAACCUUUUAUAAGGUUCUCUCUGUAGUGCCUAGUCAAGUUUCUAAGAGCACACGGUGGAUGUCUUGGCACCAGGAGCCGAUGAAGGACGUUGGAGCCUGCGAUAAGCCUCGAGGAGCCGGCAACCGGGCUGUGAUCCGAGGAUUU
rnacentral:sRNA from 1 species